UACGUAGGGUGCGAGCGUUAAUCGGAAUUACUGGGCGUAAAGUGUGCGCAGGCGGCCGCGCAAGUCGAGUGUGAAAGCCCCGGGCUUAACUUGGGAAUUGCGCUCGAAACUACGUGGCUAGAGUGUGGCAGAGGGAGGUGGAAUUCCACGUGUAGCGGUGAAAUGCGUAGAGAUGUGGAGGAAUACCGAUGGCGAAGGCAGCCCCCUGGGAUGAUACUGACGCUCAUGCACGAAAGCGUGGGGAGCAAACAGG
rnacentral:rRNA from 1 species